UCUCUCUCUCUGGAUCGAUGUAUACAUUAUGCAUUUGCGUAUACAUUUGCAUACACAUGAGAAUGGAAAUCCCUGUCGGGUUUGCAUCAGAAGAUAAAAAUGCGAACUGGGAAUUGAUUUUAUUAUUGUUGCGUUGAAAAUGAAAUUCGGGUUUUAUGCUUUUUUUAAGGUUAAAUGGUGGACGCAAUUUGGUAAAUUAUGUGUUUGAUGUUUUGACUAUGAGACGGGUUUUUAGCUUGUUCUUGGAUUGGUGAUGAAGGUAGUGUUUUAAUGAAGUACGUUAUGGUUGAAGAGAGAGUUUUGAUGAAAUACGUGCCACAUACCGAUGACUGAAACAUUUUUCUGCUGUCCGGUUCACCCAUCAAUGUGCAUUAUUUUUUUUUUUUUCAAAGCUCUGUAGAUUUUAUGGAGAGUCAUCAGGCCUAUACAAAGAAUCAUGUCUGUUGAUAUCUUGUAUUGGGCUUGCUUUCAAUAAAGGUUAAGGAUGAGUUAAGGGAAGAAUUUGUCACAAGUAUUCUCAGGUAUUUUUCUCAGAACUGCAGUUGCCUAAGCUGUGAAUUGUGUUUUCUUCGGGGCUCAGAACUAUGUUUUCGUUAAGCUUUUUGUCAUGAGUUAUUUCCUCUCUCCAUGUCUGUCCAAAUAUAAUGUGAAUUUAGGUUUGGGCGCUAUCUGCUCAUUUUUAUGUCAAAGUUGUAUAGGAAUGGGGAAGAGAUUGAUAGAAGGAUUAAAUUUUUGAUAGGUAAAUAACAUUAAAAGAAAAGUGCCGAAAGAGGACAAAUUAGGGUAAAAAAAAAAAAUCAACUAUAAACAGGGCAGAUAAAAAGAUGAAAUUUGCUUCCAACAAGAGGUCCCUUGAGAAAAUGUGUUGGGCUCUCUUUAGCCUCUAAAGCUCUUCUAUUCCUUUCUAGCCAAAUGCUCUGCAUUACAUGUAGUGGAGUGAAAUUCCAAAUGCUUCUCUUCUAUGGCUCCUCCUUGGACAAUUAUAUAAUGAAGAGUGUAAAAUACCUGAAACUAAAUCUGGGACCACUCAACUAAGUCCAUACAAAGCAAAGAUGGGGCAACACUGGUGAUGCGGAACUCAACUGAACAAUGUAGGAUAAGGUAAUCUUCUGAUUCCCCAAACUUCUUGUAACGAAGCACCAGUGAACUCAAAGGGCCUGCUCUUCCUCAGAUUAUCAAUUGUGAGGUUGGAGCCAUAUGAGUAGUCCGUGUAAAGAAGAUUGUAUGUGAGACACUUAAUCUCCAUUCAACCUUCCAAGGAACGCAUAUCUCUCCACCAUCAUACAACACAUCAUAAUAAGACCAAGAAAUACAAUGCGCUAAUCAUGAAAUAAACCAGUAAAAGUUGUAAGGUAUUAAUGUUCCAAUCAGGAAGAUGAUGCCUAAAGUAUGUGAUCACCAGACAAUGCCCUCUUGAUAAAAGGAAUAGAAAUCCUCCAUAUAAGCAAUUUUAUCCCUGCUCAACCCACAAAGAUAUACAAAACCUGGCAAAGGUACCCAUCCCCAUACCAGCUGUUAGGCCAAAACUAAACCUUUGAUCCUACCCUGACUAUGAAAUAUUUUUCUGUGUUUGUUUCCUUCUUACUUUCUUUCUAUGUAUUUGUUUUCUCAAUUUCUUCCCUUUUUUUGGAUUAUAAAAGGAAUAAAUCACUCCACAUGAACAUUUUUAUCCCUGGUCAACUCAAAAAAAGAUAUGGAAAAAAUUCACACAGACAACUAUGCCCAUGCCUACUGUUAGCCCAAAACUUUACCUUUUGGCCUAUCCUGACUAUGAAAUAUUUUUCUCUGUAUUUUUUCUUCUUACUUUCUUUCUAUUUAUUUAAAUCUUCUAUGUAUUUUUUUUCUUCCUUUUUUUUCACAUUGGUGACCAUCUUUAUAUUUCUGCAGGAGUCUAAAUCAGAAUGCUAUUUAUUUGAACUGAAACUAUGAAUUUGGUGAAAUCUAUUUCUUUUAUUAGAUUGUUUUUGAGCAGGUUAUGAGGAAUUAAGAUGGUCGAUCCAGUCUUCAUAAUGAACUUGGAGUUGCAUAAUGAUCCUUACCAACCCAAGCAGCUAUUAGAGAUGCAUCUUGUCAUUCCCUUCAGUUUUGGUAAACUUUGGGCAGUAUAAAUUCAAAGUGGUAGCCAAUGAGUGAUGGCUGGGUGCUUCUUUUUGUAAAGCAAUAUUUGGAGUAUUUAACUCUGGAAUCUUAAUAUAAUAGCCUACAUAUUCAUGAAGCCGAGAAAGAAAGAUAAAGCUGAAGAGGAUAGCAAAGCUGCAGCUAACAUUCCCUCCGCUACAGUUGUGACUACACUGACUCCUGAGGAAGCAGUCCUCUCUCCUUCAACCACUGAACGUGUGAAGGUGCACCAGCCCAUUCCCGAGGAUCAGCAGCGCGAACUAUUCAAGUGGAUAUUGGAGGAAAGGAAAAAAGUGAAACCCAAGGAUUCUGAAGCGGAAAAGCGAAUCAAAGAAGAAAAGGUCAUUCUUGAACAAUUUAUUAAUGCAGAAUCCAUCCCAAGCAUCUGAUUUCUGUUGUAUUUCCUUAAUUGGUGAGAUUACUAGAAUCUUGUCCUCCUCUAUUGAUGCUGCGGGAGGUCAGGAUUUCAGAAAUUGUGUACUUCAAUGGCUUGUCCUCCUCUAAUUGACAAUGAACUUACUUUGAUCCUUGCUCAAAGAGAAGGAUUCGUUUUAGAGGGGUUUACCUAUGGUUCUUUCAGUGAGUUGUAAGAUCAAUCUUAACUUGAAAUCAUUGGCUAUAUUAUUAGUGUUCUUUGGUUAGAAAGAAAGGGAAACCCCAUGGUCAAAGGACACUAGCAGGCCAUCGAGGGGCUUGAGACACCUGGCCACCCCUUUGGGUUGGCUUGCAGCCUUCACCCAUGGACCCCUUUUAGGAAAGAUUUUUCAGGCUAUCCACACGCUCUAUUGGGUAGAACCCUUUCUAAUGUUUUUUGUGAAAUGGUAACUUAGUUUCUUUAGUCACUGUGAUACUCAACCAAUAUAAUUCUACAGCGCAACCUUUUUUUUCUAGUUAUAAGCUACUAUUGAUUUAAUAUUAUAAUUAUAGAUAAUUCUAAUACAAUUCCAAAAUUUUGAUUAGAAAGCCCAAUUCUUUGGGUGGAUACUAAAUUUCAUUAAGAUCUCAUUUUCAAUUUAUGUGUUAGAACAUAUGAUUAUAUAAUGUAAUUGAAACAAUUAUGUUAAAUAACGGUGGUUGAGGACUUAAAAGCCCUCCAAUUAAUACACAAGUGAGAUUAAGCAAAUUGCUCCCAUACCAAGACUAACAUUCGACCACAACCCAAAUCGUAGAUUGUAUUAUCCUAAUCCUUUUUUGGCUUAAGCCAUUCAGACUGUAGUGGUAAGCAACAAUUUCAAAAAAUAUUUUAUUUUUUUGGGUACCAUGUGUUUGAAAAAGGUACACAAAUAUGGACAAAAGUAGAAGUUUGUCUUCCGGACAUUUGAGGUGGUUAAUAUAUGGUUUCAAACUUGAUGGAGCCCACCCCCAAACUCUACCUCUUUGAAGGCCGCCUACAUCCACAUUCUUCCAUCCAAUCCUUCCUCGGUUUUCUCAGGCACACCCGCAAAAGUACAGCAUGCAUACCUUCCAAAUAGCCCAUCACCUUGCCCUUAUUCAUGUUGAUUUCAACCUUAUUGUCUUCAGUAACUGGCUCUUCAAAUCAAAUCUUGGGUUUGGUUGAUUUCCAUACAGAGUUCCACCUUCAAUGCCAGGCGCCAUCCAUGUUUCAGUUCUGGACUUCAAGGAUCUUCCAUCUUCAUCAAUUUUAGUGAAGGCUAAGUGGGUUCCAUGGGGAAAAGAGAACAUCAAACAUGGGACAAGGGCGAAUUGUCUUUGUAAUGACUGUAAAUUUCUUUCCAACUUAUAUCACUGUUACUUAUGGUCUUGGUAACCAGGUUCUGUUGAUGUUGAUUUUAGUACAGCCCGUUGACAACCCUUCGUGAUAAUGUGACUAUUACACUUUAGGAUGUUGAGGGGAACGAAAUGUCACACAGAGGUUGAACAUACUGUUUAAUUUUUAAGUGGCAGAAUUUGAAUUUAUCUGUGAAGUGUAUUGGUUUUUCUAUCACAAAUUAGGCUAAUGGAGCUAAUCUUCUGGUCUAACAGUUGUUCAAACCUUGUUGGUUCCGGAAAAAGGUUCCUGGGAUGAUUUUAUUCCCCUUGAAGGAGGGGGACAGGUGCAUAUGAAUAUGCAGUUUGUCCUCAGUGAAGAAGAGCGCAAUCGGAUUCGUAGCACGAGAGAAUCUGCAAUGAAGAAGAAAUAUGAUGAACACUCUCAGGCCAUAGGUCAAGUGGCGGGCAACUGAUACGCUGGAGUUAGCACUAGUAGGUCACGAGUUCUAUACUCGGCCUAGGCAAGGGCCAAAAGUCUGUUUGUGAUUUAUCUCUUCUGCCAAAAUUGAGAGUACGAGCGAUGAGAGACCACGCAAAGGUAAUAGUCCCAAGAAAUAUGAUGAACAACUUAGUAGCGGUCUUAGAUGUUCAGAGAUGGCUAGUUCUGCUGGUGGUAUUCCCGUGUCUUCUUCAUUUGCAAAGAUUGAGGUCUCAGGUUUGAUCAGCUACUUAAAUUUACAAAAUAAGGGAAAAUGGAAGGAAGAAGUAACAAGAAAUGCUUUUAAUUUUCAACGAACUCUUCUGUUGCAU